AAGCGAGGGGCACCUCCAGGACUGUCUAACCUGAGAAUGGUGAAACUUAAGGCUCAAUCUCAGGUUCGUCAGCCCAUGAGAUGCCUUCUCCAG
rnacentral:pre_miRNA from 1 species